CGAACGAGAUGGAUCGCCCUUCGGCCGAGGCCGCAUUGAGCAUCACGCCGUCCCACGAGGUCCGCCUCGCCUGGAGCGACGACGGGCGCCAGCUGCGGGUGAUCCCGGUUGGCCCGUGGUCGACCGACCGACGCUAUGGCGUAGUGGUGGGCACCACGGCCCGCAUUGCCAACGGCGCGCUGCUUGGCUCGCCGGCGCAGUUCGGCUUCACCACCCAGACCGCGCCCCACAUUACCGACUUCGGCGUCCGAUACGUCGCGGAAUCGGUGGCGCCCUCCGCGGCGAUGGACGCCCUGGGGAUCGAUGGCAGCGAGCACCAGCCCGACGUCGCCUCCGACGUGAGUGCCGCGACCUUCAUCCGGAUCGGCUUCAAUGCGCCGAUGAACCGGGGCGAGGUAGA
rnacentral:misc_RNA from 1 species